rnacentral:tRNA from 1 species
CGAAUUUAGUGCUCAGUUGGUUUAGAGCAUCCCGAUUCCAUCGGGAGGGUCGGGAGUUCGAGUCUCUCACCGCCCA